UCUCACCCUGAGAGACGCAAAUGCCA
rnacentral:piRNA from 1 species